UGGAAGGAAACCGACUCGAAGGGGCCAGGAGGGGAGGCGCGUUCCCCUGCCUCUUCCUCACCCCUCGUUCUGCUUCAGUUUGCUUUCUGAGCACAUCUUCCAAGGACCUUCCAAGAAGGUAGGAUUGUGGUUCUGUUCUCAGGGGUCUGCCCAGCCAGAGAGCUCCACCCCCACCCUCUCGAGCAUUUGUCAGAUCCCAGAAGCUAUGUUUGGGAUGGAAAGACGGCCGAGACAGGGCUGCUGCCCCGAGGGGCUGGGGUUUGGCAGGAGAGACACACGAUGAACAAAACCACUGGACAGAUGAGGACACCGAGGCACAGAGGGAGCGAUGAGUCCGCUCAGGGCCAUGCACCUGGCCAGUGGUCCAGCUGUGAGCCUGGCAGUGGGCCCCGGAACACUGUGCCCGGGGCGGGCGUCAUCAGUCUGCCCGGGAGGGAAUGAGUGGCAGCGAGCGAGGGAGCGAGCUGAAGCUAGCCAGCCGGGAUUUCCACGAGACCCCUCCAAACUGCAGAGCCCACGCUGCUGACCACUGGGCCGUCUUUCUCUAGACUAGAUGUGUGACUUGGGGCCUUUAUUUUGAGCUUCAGUUUCCCAGUUUCAGUAAAGCCUUCCCAACCUUCCCCAGUGGGCUGCAGGGGUGCUUGGUGGAGGGCCCAUGUGGAUAAACCUUGGGGUGUCAUACUAACACAGUCAGUAGGCUUCAGUUGACUCAAUGGUUCUUUGGGACCGUGGCAGGGGCCACGGAGGAGGAGGAGGGUUGUCACUGCGUGGGAGUGGGGAGCCCAGCCCCUCCACUUCUCUCUGAGGGUCCGUAGAGCCCCAGCCACAGGCCCCCGUGUCAGACGCCUGCCACCCAGGGUCUCUGCAUUCGAGGGAGUUCACCUUCUGAAGCAGCCCCCCCCAGCCUGGGGGCCUCGGUUGUGCAUCUUCUGUGCGGGCCCUGGUGCCGUCUCAUAGGAUGGCUCUGUUGUCACUUACGAAAUUAGUUACCUGUUGGUCCAGAAGUCACAUCAGGAGAAACAGCGAAAGUCACGUAACAAGACAUGGGACAGGUGUGCUCUCUGAGGGGAUGGUGCUGUGUUGACAUGGGUCCCCACUAUUUACCCAGUGCUAGGAAGCUAGCACAUUACCACCUUCUGUAAGGUCAGCUUCAGGGCUCCCGAUGAAUGGAGGUAAAAUAAUGUCACAUCGUGACAUGUCGUCCUCCCGAAUGACAACCAUCAUCUCUGUCAGGCGCCGAGGUUCCUUGAACAUCUCGGUCCUGAGCCUGUUCUGUGUGUCCACUGGGAAAAUGAACGUCGGGGGGGUGGGUGGCCCCUCACAGUCCUGCUCCAUUGUCCUCUCAGGCAUGAAGCCUUUCACUCGGGUCUUGUUUAAAUCCCAGCGCUUCCCUUCCAAAUGGUUUCUAAGGGGAAACACAAAAAAGAACGUUCCAGAAUGCUCUGCUGACCCAGGGAGGAUCUGCCAGAGCCAUUUCCUGGAUUACAGCCUCUCCCCCCAUCAGCAGAUUGUGUGAAGCAGGCUCCCGUCAGCUGUGAGCCCUGGUGUGGGAAAAAGGGCUGACACACAGGGCUCUUUUUCAUAAAGCUGACAUUGCUCAUGAAUAGCAAAUUCCUGAGUGUGGGCAGUCGACCAAGACCAGGAAUUCUCAUUAGCUGGUGGUCAUCAGGCAUGACUCGGCCUGCGGAAGGCAGCGGGGAGGAGAGGUCAUCCGUGUGGGCAGGGACGGCCCGCAGUCGAUGAUCGAGCACCAUCUUGCUAGAGUGGUUGCUGAAAAUGCUGGAAUGCUCUGUAUGGGCCAGUAACUCCCUGCACCUCCCCAGCAGCUCCACGGCUCCGCCCCUCCUUGGGGACCUCCACCUUCUGUCAGUUCAGCAGCCAGAGGGUUUGGGCUGACCUGGCAAAGUCUCCCAGACAGGGUCCAGCUGACCAGGAAUGAGGAUCUGAUCCUCUAUCAGGCUACACCGGAAAACCUUCACCUUCCCUUGUAAAUUCUCUCCCUCUCCUGCUGCUCGAAGAGACAAAAUGUAACACUUGGAGCCCGAUUGCUGGUCCACAGAAGAUGCCUAACAAAUGCUAGAUCCUUCCUGC